rnacentral:rRNA from 1 species
ACAAGCGGAGGAACAUGUGGUUUAAUUCGAUGAUACGCGAGGAACCUUACCUGGGCUUAAAUGUAGAGUGCAUUUUUAGAGAUAGAAAUUCCCUUCGGGGCUUUCUGCAAGGUGCUGCAUGGUUGUCGUCAGCUCGUGUCGUAAGAUGUUCGGUUAAGUCCGCUAACGAGCGCAACCCUCGUCGUAUGUUAUAUGUGUCAUACGAGACUGCCGGUAAAAGCCGGAGGAAGGUGAGGAUGAUGUCAAGUCAGCAUGACCUUUAUAUCCAGGGCUACACACACGCUACAAUGGUCUGUACAAUGGGUAGCCAAGCCGCGAGGCGGAGCCAAUCCUGAAAGCAGGCCUCAGUUCAGAUUGCAGUCUGCAACUCGACUGCAUGAAGCCGGAGUUGCUAGUAACCGCAGGUCAGCAAUACUGCGGUGAAUACGUUCCCGGGUCUU